AAGUCGUAACAAGGUUUCCGUAGGUGAACCUGCGGAAGGAUCAUUAAAGAUUCGGGCUUCGGCCCUCCUCCUCAGCUGUGCCCUUCGGCUGCACGCUGUUGAAAUCUCACACCUGUGCACCUUUUCGGUCGCGGCGAUUAAACCCGUCGCUUCCGCUUUCACAUCCAACUACAAAAAGUCUAGAAUGUACAAAACCAUAAACAUAACAACUUUCAACAACGGAUCUCUUGGCUCUC
rnacentral:misc_RNA from 1 species